GCUGUGAUGGCCGAGUGGUUAAGGCGUUGGACUCGAAAUCCAAUGGGAUAUUCCCGCGCAGGUUCAAAUCCUGCUCGUAGCG
rfam:Lottia gigantea unplaced genomic scaffold LOTGIsca_31, whole genome shotgun sequence.